rnacentral:rRNA from 1 species
ACGAACGCUGGCGGCGUGCCUAAUACAUGCAAGUAGAACGCUGAAGAGAGGAGCUUACUCUUCUUGGAUGAGUUGCGAACGGGUGAGUAACGCGUAGGUAACCUGCCUUGUAGCGGGGGAUAACUAUUGGAAACGAUAGCUAAUACAGCAUAACAAUGGAUGACACAUGUCAUUUAUUUGAAAGGGGCAAUUGCUCCACUACAAGAUGGACCUGCGUUGUAUUAGCUAGUAGGUGAGGUAAUGGCUCACCUAGGCGACGAUACAUAGCCGACCUGAGAGGGUGAUCGGCCACACUGGGACUGAGACACGGCCCAGACUCCUACGGGAGGCAGCAGUAGGGAAUCUUCGGCAAUGGGGGCAACCCUGACCGAGCAACGCCGCGUGAGUGAAGAAGGUUUUCGGAUCGUAAAGCUCUGUUGUAAGUCAAGAACGGGUGUGAGAGUGGAAAGUUCACACUGUGACGGUAGCUUACCAGAAAGGGACGGCUAACUACGUGCCAGCAGCCGCGGUAAUACGUAGGUCCCGAGCGUUGUCCGGAUUUAUUGGGCGUAAAGCGAGCGCAGGCGGUUUGAUAAGUCUGAAGUUAAAGGCUGUGGCUCAACCAUAGUUCGCUUUGGAAACUGUCAAACUUGAGUGCAGAAGGGGAGAGUGGAAUUCCAUGUGUAGCGGUGAAAUGCGUAGAUAUAUGGAGGAACACCGGUGGCGAAAGCGGCUCUCUGGUCUGUAACUGACGCUGAGGCUCGAAAGCGUGGGGAGCGAACAGGAUUAGAUACCCUGGUAGUCCACGCCGUAAACGAUGAGUGCUAGGUGUUGGAUCCUUUCCGGGAUUCAGUGCCGCAGCUAACGCAUUAAGCACUCCGCCUGGGGAGUACGACCGCAAGGUUGAAACUCAAAGGAAUUGACGGGGGCCCGCACAAGCGGUGGAGCAUGUGGUUUAAUUCGAAGCAACGCGAAGAACCUUACCAGGUCUUGACAUCCCGAUGCUAUUUCUAGAGAUAGAAAGUUACUUCGGUACAUCGGUGACAGGUGGUGCAUGGUUGUCGUCAGCUCGUGUCGUGAGAUGUUGGGUUAAGUCCCGCAACGAGCGCAACCCCUAUUGUUAGUUGCCAUCAUUCAGUUGGGCACUCUAGCGAGACUGCCGGUAAUAAACCGGAGGAAGGUGGGGAUGACGUCAAAUCAUCAUGCCCCUUAUGACCUGGGCUACACACGUGCUACAAUGGUUGGUACAACGAGUUGCGAGUCGGUGACGGCGAGCUAAUCUCUUAAAGCCAAUCUCAGUUCGGAUUGUAGGCUGCAACUCGCCUACAUGAAGUCGGAAUCGCUAGUAAUCGCGGAUCAGCACGCCGCGGUGAAUACGUUCCCGGGCCUUGUACACACCGCCCGUCACACCACGAGAGUUUGUAACACCCGAAGUCGGUGAGGUAACCUUUUGGAGCCAGCCGCCUAAGGUGGGACAGAUGAUUGGGGUG